AGUGAACGCUGGCGGUAGGCCUAACACAUGCAAGUCGAACGGCAGCACAGUAAGAGCUUGCUCUUACGGGUGGCGAGUGGCGGACGGGUGAGGAAUACAUCGGAAUCUACUUUUUCGUGGGGGAUAACGUAGGGAAACUUACGCUAAUACCGCAUACGACCUACGGGUGAAAGCAGGGGAUCUUCGGACCUUGCGCGAUUGAAUGAGCCGAUGUCGGAUUAGCUAGUUGGCGGGGUAAAGGCCCACCAAGGCGACGAUCCGUAGCUGGUCUGAGAGGAUGAAUCGCCACACUUGGACCUAGACACGGGUCCGACCUCCUAGGGAAGGAGGAGGUGGGAAUAUUUGGCAAUGGGCGCAAGCCUGAUCCAGCCAUACCGCGUGGGUGAAGAAGGCCUUCGGGUUGUAAAGCCCUUUUGUUGGGAAAGAAAAGCAGCAGGUUAAUACCCCGCUGUUCUGACGGUACCCAAAGAAUAAGCACCGGCUAACUUCGUG
rnacentral:rRNA from 1 species